rnacentral:rRNA from 1 species
GACGAACGCUGGCGGCGUGCCUAAUACAUGCAAGUUGAGCGCUGAAGGUUGGUACUUGUACCAACUGGAUGAGCAGCGAACGGGUGAGUAACGCGUGGGGAAUCUGCCUUUGAGCGGGGGACAACAUUUGGAAACGAAUGCUAAUACCGCAUAAAAACUUUAAACACAAGUUUUAAGUUUGAAAGAUGCAAUUGCAUCACUCAAAGAUGAUCCCGCGUUGUAUUAGCUAGUUGGUGAGGUAAAGGCUCACCAAGGCGAUGAUACAUAGCCGACCUGAGAGGGUUAUCGGCCACAUUGGGACUGAGACACGGCCCAAACUCCUACGGGAGGCAGCAGUAGGGAAUCUUCGGCAAUGGACGAAAGUCUGACCGAGCAACGCCGCGUGAGUGAAGAAGGUUUUCGGAUCGUAAAACUCUGUUGGUAGAGAAGAACGUUGGUGAGAGUGGAAAGCUCAUCAAGUGACGGUAACUACCCAGAAAGGGACGGCUAACUACGUG